GCGAACUGGGCCAAACUUCCUCCGCUUUCCCUCCGCGAAGUGCUCUGGCGUCUUUGCCUUAGCCUCGGCGCAUGCGCUCGAUAACCGAGCCGGCUAGGGGUGUAGGAGCUGGAGAUGGCUCUGCUCACCCCGCUUCGGUUCUCGUGGCGGCAGCUGCCGGCGGCCGGGGUCCCCGUGAAGAACUUCGGCCUCAGGACGGUGGCCUCUGGCUCCUCUUUCCCGAGUGGUGGUGGCUCGCCCAAAGCCUUCAACAUCUUCGAUCGGGAUUUGAAGAGGAAGCAAAAGAACUGGGCGGCCCGGCAGCCGGAGCCGAUGAAGUUCGACUACUUGAAGGAGGAGGUUGGAAGUCGGAUCGCAGAUCGAGUGUAUGACAUAGCCAGAGAUUUCCGUCUCGCUUUGGAUGUUGGUUGUGGAAGAGGUUACAUAGCAGAACACUUGAAUAAGGAAACUGUUGGAAAGUUUUUUCAAACAGACAUUGCAGAAAAUGCUUUGAAAAAUGCCUUAGAAACAGAAAUUCCUACUGUCAGUGUUUUAGCUGAUGAAGAAUUUCUUCCCUUCAGAGAAAAUACAUUUGACCUGGUGGUUAGCAGUUUAAGUUUGCACUGGGUGAAUGACCUCCCUAGAGCACUUGAACAGAUUCAUUAUGUUUUGAAACCAGAUGGAGUGUUCAUUGGUGCAAUGUUUGGAGGUGACACGCUCUUUGAACUCCGGUGUUCCUUACAGUUAGCGGAAACAGAAAGGGAAGGGGGCUUUUCUCCGCACGUCUCCCCUUUCACUGCAGUCAAUGACUUAGGACAUCUGCUUGGGAGAGCUGGCUUUAAUACUCUGACUGUGGACACUGAUGAAAUUCAAGUUAACUAUCCUGGGAUGUUUGAGUUGAUGGAAGAUUUACAAGAAGAAAGUCCAGAACAUUGACCUAAUUUUGCAAAACAAGUUGCGUAUCCGCCAAGGAACACAUGAGAAGUUUUGGAGGCUUUCACAGUAGUUUUAAGGUGGCGCUAGUGGUCAAGAAGCCACCUGCCAAUGCAGGAGACGUAAGAGACAUGGGUUCAAUCUCUGUCUGGGUCAGGAAGAUCCCCUGGAGGAGGGAAUGGCUACCCACUCCAGUGUUCUUGCCUGGAGAAUCCCCGUGGACAGAGGAGCCUGGCGGGCUACAGUCCGUAGGGUCACAAAGGGGUCGGGCACGGCACAAUGCCAGUUAUUUAGAAGGCAUUUAGAAUUUCUGGUGCGUUAAGUACUUCCGUUAAAAUAAUUAAACCUUUUUUUCACUGGUGUGGCCUCUACCGUGUCAGUCGUAGCAGACGGGAAGUUAAGGAGAAGGGAAAGCUCCACAGCACCAUUGACUGUCAGCAGCAAUGAUCCUUCCAGCACGGGUCCCAGUGUGCCUCUGGUCGCUUGUUGUGGUUGAUGGUCAUUAUGUGGGAGAAUUUUUUUAUAUUGGAUUGUGUCAUGGGUUAAAAUGUUAGUGUUGGGAGCCUUUAGAGAUCAUCUAGCCUGGCCACCUUGAGGCCCCAGAGUGUUGGAUCUGAGGUCAUCUAGCUACUUCAUGACCGCAAGAAUAAGAUCCACCCUCUUGUUCAUGGUGAUUCCUCUAUCAAUGCUGGUUUGUACACUGUGUCUCUUGUUCUUAAUGAAUUGGGACUGCUUUACUCACAGGAUAUGGGACAUGGCUUUUAGUAUCAGAGUUUCGUUAUUUUAGGGAAUAAUAAGGACAUCUUGGGAUUGGAGAAAGCCAACAGAUUUACUCAUUCCAUCUAAUCUGUUGAUUGUUUUUCAUAAGGCCAUUGGAAACCUGGGAGACUAUUACUUUUAAACAACUAAAGAACAUUGACAUUGGGAAUUUUAUUGGUAUCUCUUCUGAAAGUAGAAAAACAAAACUAAGAAAAUGCUUUUUGAUCAUAUAAUAUAUAGAGAAUAAAUGUAAAGGGUUUUUAAUUUUGAUUCUUUUAAUUUUGCAAGCUAGUUUAAAAUGUGGGCUUUCAAAGUAAUUUCAUUUGACUGUAUGCAUUAAAAAUAUUAAAUAUAUAACAUUAAAUUUUAGUGAACAAGAAGAGAACAUAAUCCUUGCUUUUAGCUAUCAAUUUGAAGGAAAGAAAUCUAAAAAUAAGUGUUAAAACAUUAAGAAAAGUGCCCCUGAAGAGAAUGCACAUAAUUGUUUCCUAAUCUGGGAUCAGUAAAAUGUUGUAAAAUCUGAAAACACGUUUUGGUACGACUUGAGUCUUCAGGCUUCCUUGGUAGCUCAGCUGGUUGGUAAAGAAUCCACCUGCAGUGCAGGAGACCCCAGUUCAAUGAGUCUUCAAACCCUCUUCCAGGUUUCACGUUCACACUUACAUUUAUGGCUUGGAAGGAGUGAGGUGUUGCACCAGUGUCCUGUCCUCUUUCAAAGAGCCGCUGAAAAGGGCGUGAAACGUGGCAUCACUAGAGAGACCCUUGCCGGCUCCUGAUGACCCACCUGGGGGGCUUGUGGGCUUGCUUUGGCCCAGCUGGCUUAUCAUAGUCCAUUGCUGCCACAUAAAGUGUGCUUAUGGGGCUUGCCUCCCGAAAUUUGACUUGUCUCACUACCCAGAGGCUUCAAGUAGCUUUGUCUGAGGGUCACUAACUAUGAUCUGAGAGCAAAAUGAGGUUAUUUAUCUUACAUGACUGUCAGAGAUGAGGGACAGGUAUUCCAUUGGAUGAAAGAAGAUUAAAUCUGUGCUAUUGAGCGGCUCAGGUAUUUGCUGAAUCAUCUCAAACCUCUAGUGUG